rnacentral:rRNA from 1 species
CCUACGGGAGGCAGCAGUGGGGGAUAUUGCACAAUGGGGGGAACCCUGAUGCAGCGACGCCGCGUGGGUGAAGAAGCGCCUCGGCGCGUAAAGCCCUGUCAGCAGGGAAGAAAAUGACGGUACCUGAAGCAGAAGCCCCGGCUAACUACGUGCCAGCAGCCGCGGUCAUACGUAGGGGGCAAGCGUUAUCCGGAUUUACGGGGUGUAAGGGGGGCGCAGACGGCGAUGCAAGCCAGGAGUGAAAGCCCGGGGCCAAACCCCGGGACUGCUCUUGGAACUGCGUGGCUGGAGUGCAGGAGGGGCAGGCGGAAGUCCUGGUGUAGCGGUGAAAUGCAUAGAUAUCAGGAGGAACACCGAUGGCGAAGGCAGCCUGCUGGACUGCAACUGACGCUGAGGAGCGAAAGCGUGGGUAGCAAACAGGAUUAGAUACCCUUGUAGUC